rnacentral:rRNA from 1 species
UACGGAGGGUGCAAGCGUUAUCCGGAUUUACUGGGUUUAAAGGGUGCGCAGGCGGAUAUGUAAGUCAGUGGUGAAAUCUCCAGGCUUAACCUGGAAAUUGCCGUUGAUACUAUAUAUCUUGAAUGCUGUGGAGGUAAGCGGAAUAUGUCAUGUAGCGGUGAAAUGCUUAGAGAUGACAUAGAACACCUAUUGCGAAGGCAGCUUACUACACGAUCAUUGACGCUGAGGCACGAAAGCGUGGGGAGCAAACAGG